rnacentral:lncRNA from 1 species
UAAAACAGUCUUUCCAUCUUACUCAAUAAACAAUUACUGACCACCUAACAAUGUACACACAUAAGAAUAACAGAAACUUAUGAUAUAAAGCAAACUAGUAACAUAAGAUGCUGUUAGAAUAAUUCCAUUCAAAAAUAUAUAAAUGUUAGAAGAAUCUUCUUCCUGCAAGGGACCAGGGACAAAAUCUAAUUUACGUUUUAUGCUCUCUUCUCUCCAGUUCUCCUUUUGAAUUGCUCUUUCAUUUUCUUUUUUUUUUUUUUUUAAGAUUUUAUUUAUUUAUUUGACAGAGAGAGAGAGACAGCCAGCGAGAGAGGGAACACAAGCAGGGGGAGUGGGAGAGGAAGAAGCAGGCUUCUAGCAGAGGAGCCUGAUGUGGGGCUCGAUCCCGUAACGCCAGGAUCACGCCCUGGGCCGAAGGCAGACGCUUAACCGCUGUGCCACCCAGGUGCCCCUGCUCUUUCAUUUUCUGUACCUUAAUACCAAGACUUUCAAAUUGUGAGCAGGCCUCUGAAUCAUAUUUCAGAAUAUUGUCUAAUUGUAUGCUUUCUUAAUAAACUAGCUGUCGGUUGCAGAACGAUUUUGGUGCCCCAAGGCAAAAUUCUAUAACAAGUUUAACAUAACUCUCCUGAUACCUGGAAUCAUCUCAGGCCCAUCCGGCCUCCCCUAAAAGCCCUUGCAAGAGAACAUGGUGAGGCAGUAUCAAAUUUCUCUAUAUCGCCAGUGGGGAAACAAUACCAAUGUGCUAUUACAGAGGGAACACUUUGUGACAAGACGGGUUGGAAUUACACUUCUAUUUUAGGAUAGUGAGCAACUUAUGUUUUCAAGAAGACUCAUCGCAGGUUAUCGUUUCGGCUUAUUGUUGACGUCUGACAUUCAGAUGUCUUUUACCUGGCGUUCCGACCAUUUGACGUACCAUGUGCGGAGAGGGGCUGCUUUUGUCCAGUGGUUGUGAGAUGUGCCGCCUAGACAAGUUCAUCAUCAUGUGAAGUAUGUAAUGAAAAAACAAUAAAGCACAAAUGUUUUUCUUUUCUGCUUCA